CUUGCUUAUCUGCAAUAGAUCCUGGCUUGUGCAAAUUCCGUCAGCUACGUUAUUUUUACAACGUGGCAGAAAAAAAAUGCAAGGAAUUCUACUAUUCAGGCUGUUUUGGAAAUGAAAACAAUUUUGUGACAAAGCCGGCAUGCGAAGCAAAAUGCAACGGUGUUCGCGCAACCCAUGGAGCAGAUAUGACCGCAGAAGAUUGCUGUAAAAACACUCUGAAAGAUCAGUGCAAAGGCGAGCUAGGUCAGGUGGAGUAUACUAGUAUAACUGAGGUCAAGUUUAAUUGAUAUCAAUAAUUUAGCAUUAGAUAUCGAUUCUUCUGACCAAGAAACAAAGCAAGGCAAAGUGUUCGUCGGUCUUAAAUUACAAUCAAAGAAUUUACAAGGUCAACGAGUAUCGAGAUAUAAGAAUGCCGAAGCUCUUUCACUGCCGACUGUUGAAAGCACGGUGGACGGAUGCAACAUGAGAUGUCCUCAUUUCAACUCAGGAACAAAGUAUCUAGUUGUUGUGAAAGGUGCCACAAUCAACAAAAAGCAGAUAACAUCUGAAAAGUAUUACAUAAUUCAAUAUGCAAGUGGUGAGAAAACGGAAAAGUUUGAUGAACUGAAAACCUGCUCUUAAAGAAAACGAUGCCACGACAAUUCAAUGCUCUCUCGCUUCGAUAGAAAAAUGGAAUUCAACGUUGUUGUUUGUGCUUUGUUUCAAUGUUUGAAUGUUAGAAUUCUGUGCUUGUUUGAAUGUUAUAAAUCUGUGCUAUCUCAGUUCCGAUACUUCUACACUGUACUGUAGAGAUGAAGCUGUAGACAAGUAGUGCUCACUUCGAAUGGCAGUAGACAAGGAAGUAUUUCAUAUUAACUUCAGACCUAUUUAUCGUAUAAAAUGUAAUAUUGGCGAGAAAUUUAUUUUGACGAAAUG